GAUGAACGCUGACAGAAUGCUUAACACAUGCAAGUCAACUUGAAUUUGGGUUUUUAACUUAGGUUUGGGUGGCGGACGGGUGAGUAACGCGUAAAGAACUUGCCUCACAGCUAGGGACAACAUUUGGAAACGAAUGCUAAUACCUAAUAUUAUGAUAAUAGGGCAUCCUAUAAUUAUGAAAGCUUUAAGCGCUGUGAGAGAGCUUUGCGUCCCAUUAGCUAGUUGGAGAGGUAACGGCUCACCAAGGCGAUGAUGGGUAGCCGGCCUGAGAGGGUGAUCGGCCACAAGGGGACUGAGACACGGCCCUUACUCCUACGGGAGGCAGCAGUGGGGAAUAUUGGACAAUGGACCGAGAGUCUGAUCCAGCAAUUCUGUGUGCACGAUGAAGUUUUUCGGAAUGUAAAGUGCUUUCAGUUGGGAAGAAACAAAUGACGGUACCAACAGAAGAAGUGACGGCUAAAUACGUG
rnacentral:rRNA from 1 species